rnacentral:rRNA from 1 species
UACGAAGGGUGCAAGCGUUACUCGGAAUUACUGGGCGUAAAGCGUGCGUAGGUGGUUUGUUAAGUCUGAUGUGAAAGCCCUGGGCUCAACCUGGGAAUUGCAUUGGAUACUGGCAAGCUAGAGUGCGGUAGAGGAUGGCGGAAUUCCCGGUGUAGCAGUGAAAUGCGUAGAGAUCGGGAGGGACAUCUGUGGCGAAGGCGGCCAUCUGGACCAGCACUGACACUGAGGCACGAAAGCGUGGGGAGCAAACAGG